GAUGAAGAACGCAGUGAAAUGCGAUAAGUAAUGUGAAUUGCAGAAUUCAGUGAAUCAUCGAAUCUUUGAACGCACAUUGCGCCCCCUGGCAUUCCGGGGGGCAUGCCUGUCCGAGCGUCAUUGCUGCCCUUCAAGCCCGGCUUGUGUGUUGGGUCGUCGUCCCCCCCGGGGGACGGGCCCGAAAGGCAGCGGCGGCACCGCGUCCGGUCCUCGAGCGUAUGGGGCUUUGUCACCCGCUCGAUUAGGGCCGGCCGGGCGCCAGCCGGCGUCUCCAACCUUCUAUUUUACCAGGUUGACCUCGGAUCAGGUAGGGAUACCCGCUGAACUUAAGCAUAUCAAUAAGCGGAGGA
rnacentral:misc_RNA from 1 species